UGUUCGGUGAGCGCGGACGGCGGGCUGUGCGCGCCUGUGCUGCAGUGCACGUGUUGGCUAGAAAGCCGACAGUGACGGGGAUUUCGAGCGUGUAGGUCAGGAGCCACUUGAGGGUACGAAGACGGUAGCGAGAAAGACUGCGUGCCCGGGUAAGAGCAUUCCGAGAAUGUCUCUAUGCCGAGAAAUGUGGUGCCGUCCUGUGCCGUCUGCAAGUCCCGGCCUGUGUGAGUCGCCUGGCAUGCCGCGGUCCCCGUCAUGCACGACUGUUCGUGAAGUCUGGCUGAUUUAAUACAUAGCUGAAAACA
rnacentral:lncRNA from 1 species